rnacentral:rRNA from 1 species
AGGGCACCACCAGGAGUGGAGCCUGCGGCUUAAUUUGACUCAACACGGGAAAACUCACCCGGCCCGGACACUGGAAGGAUUGACAGAUUGAGAGCUCUUUCUUGAUUCAGUGGGUGGUGGUGCAUGGCCGUUCUUAGUUGGUGGAGUGAUUUGUCUGGUUAAUUCCGAUAACGAACGAGACUCUAGCCUACUAAAUAGAUAGUCGGCUUACAAACGUCGACUAGACUUCUUAGAGGGACAGGCGGUGAUUCAACCGCACGAAACAGAGCAAUAACAGGCCUGUGAUGCCCUUAGAUGUCCGGGGCCGCACGCGCGCUACACUGAAGUGAUCAGCGUGCUUUUUCAGCCUACUCUGUCAAGAGUGGGAAACCCAAUGAACCUUCUUCGUGAUUGGGAUAGGGGAUUGUAAUUAUUCCCCUUGAACGAGGAAUUCCCAGUAAGCGCGAGUCAUAAGCUCGCGUUGAUUACGUCCCUGCCCUUUGUACACACCGCCCGUCGCUACUACCGAUUGAAUGUUUU